ACGUAGACCCUGAUUUGAGGCCGAUACUGAAUAGCUUUUGCAAUAGCUCUGACUGGUCAUAUUUCAGGCUAACCAGGAAGAUGAAUGGUAUUUUAUACAGCGCCAUAGAAGUAGUGUUCUUGGCCUUCGAUGGUACCUUAAUAACCUGCUCUUGGAAGAUUUGUUCAAAACAGUUCUCAUUGGAUUUCCAAGCCUGGAAACCGGAUAAAACGUUUGCGAUGGGGGAUUCUUAAUACGACCGGAUUUCCGGAAGCGCCACAGUAAAAACCGCACCCUCAGAAGCAACACAGGCAUUUCCUGUCUCUUCGUAGAAGAACAGAUUUCGUGAAAGCUAUAAAACUUCGGGAGACACUCGCUAAUGUCCAGGAUCUAAAAAGCAAGUUCUUAUCUAAUCAAGAAGAGGCCUAAAACACUAACAUUUUGAAACAAAGGAUUACCAAGACCUCGAGCCACAGCAACAGAUGAAUCCGACCAUGGAUGGCAUGCCAGUCGCAACGGAAAGCCAUAUCAAGUCUCUGAAGAUUGUCCAGUUCAAUGUGCAGAAAUCUGAAUGACCAAAAGUGCAAGGAGGAAAUACCUGCUAAUUUGAAGACUCAUCCAUGAGAUUUUAGCAUACACGUGUUGCAGUGGUUGUGAAGAAAUUUCAUUAAGGCACAUGAAAUCUUUUUUGAACAGUACACCUGUUAGUUUCCUAUAACAAGUGUGUCAUAAAAAGGGGAAACAAUGAUUUGAGCAGUGAAUUACCAUUCAAAAGUCAUGAAGACUAGAGAAAAAUUGUUUUACCAUGAAAGGAUAUAUGUUUAGAGGGUAUUUUUCAUACAUCAUAUGCCCUAAACCUUUCUUUAUGUUAUAGGCUAUUUUAUGAAGUGUUUUGCGCAGUGGGAAACACUUAAAGGCAUGGGUUUUGAAAAGAUUUGACAGUACUUAUUGAAUGCUUUAAGGACUUGCUACCACAUAGAAGCAUUAAAUCAUACUGGUUCGA